UCAUAUCUGAUAACUGUUACAAUAAUUGCCAAAACUACAGUUUAUAUUAGUGUCAUGAUUUGCACUUGAGUUUUGUAUCGACAGGGCCACUGCCAAUUUAGGCAUGUUUUAAUUAUGACACUUAAACAAUUGUAUAUGUACAUCGAUAAAAGUUUUUGCAAUCAUGGAAACAUAAGUGAAUUGCAGACAGCAUUCUUGUUUUACGAAUGUAAAAUGGCUGGAGUAGUGAUGUCACUAGCUAGAUUAAUUUUCAUUUGACCUCCCCCACAGAAAGACACAGCACAUCAUUAUAUCGUUGGCUCCGCCCACUGGUGUUCAGUCUAAAGUAGUAGUUGUUGACAAUCAUAAAGUUGUAAAAACAGUAAGAUUGUGAUGUCAGACAAACAUUGUGCUGUUGCUGGCUGUGGGAAAUUAGUGUCUUUGUAAGGGUCGCAAAUAAUUUGAAAAUAUUUAUGUUUCAAAAUAUUGCCCCCCUACCAUGAACUAAACUGGACUGUCGCAGAGACCAAGUGUAGUAAGGUACGGAGCGCUCACACUAGUCACACCAAACUUUGGAGGUUUCUGAAUUGAUGUCAGAUGCAAAGCAGAAGUUUAUUUUCUUCCAGUUUGGCUUCAUUGUGGAAAAAUGCUGGAAACUAAAAUGCAGAACAUGAUGCACGAUGGGAUGCACAAAGUGAUAUUUGGACGCAGCCUCAGUCUGUCAGAUCAAAGAGACAUACAGAAUUCAUAGAGCAGUGGGACUCCAUGAACAGAGUUGAGAACCACUGGUGUAACUCAUUAUGCUUACCUGACUCAUGCAGAAUUCUGGCCUGGUGUUUGGUCCACCCUUUCUCUGGCUUGUGUCUCCGUCUCCAUCAUCAUUAUACUCUUGUCAGUGUUAUAGUAUUGUCGUCUGCGUACCAGGACUUUGUUUCUCAGCUGUCCCUUCUCCUUCAAGCUACAUUUUUGUCAAGCUGCAACAAGUUGGAAUACAUAAUUAUUAACGUUUAAGGAUUUUGAUGUAUGAAAUAUGUAACAAAAGCAAAAAAUGUACAGACAUUCUAUUAAGAAAUUACCUUUUUGUUGUUUGUUUACUGACCUUUCAACCAUAUUGCAUUUAAAAUUGAUCAUCAUACCUUUGGUCUACUGUUAACAGACUACUGUAGAAAACUUUGAAUAAAGUAAAAAAAAAGAGAAAAAAUUAUAAAUGCUGAAUGUGUCUCAUCUUAAAUACAUUGUUGUUGUUUUUUUCAUUGAAUUUGGAUGUUUUGAUGAUUUAAGGAAAAUUUACGUAGCAUAUAUAUUGAUGUUUUAAUUCAGAGUUUGUUAAUGACACUUAAUCAUUAACAAACAUUUAAAAAGGUUUAUUACAAUACUAAUUGAUAAUAUUAAAUUAAUGUAAUAAUCUUGUUUUGUUACACCCUAAAUCACUGAGCGCACAAACGCUACCCCAGUUACAAGCAUGGAUGGUUGACUUCAUGCAGACAUGCGCAGACAUCGAAGUACCGCGAGAGUGAUUCAAAAGCCCACGAAACAGUGUAAUCACGCGGUACUGUGACGUCAUACUGGUUAACGCUAAGCCACGUGAAGCGCCCGGACACAAGGGCUGCACUAAUCUUUGGGCUGGAGUAGCCUGUGGCUUACGUGUCUCGUCGCAGAACGAUUUAUUUCUCUUUUUCACCUCGAUCUUUGGCCUCUUGUGAUUUAACAAAACCAACAUGUGAAGUUACAACGCUGACGAAGGAGUUUAAUCAGUAACGUUAGAGUGUGUCCUGGUAAACGUGUGCUUGGAAACAUGCAGAUUACAGUAUUUACAGAGCCGACCUUGAGGCUAUUUUUUUUGCAUGACAUCCACUGAUGGAUAAUCUGUUUACCUAAAAACAGCACUUCAGGAGAAACCUGCCUGUGAUCUGCUAAGAUGCACAGAUUCAACUCUGGCCCAUUGUCAUUCCAACACCUUAUCUGCCAUCAGUUUCGUUUAGUGUCGAUCUAUUGCAAAAGUUCUUAUAAACUUUAAAUGAGACUUUGUGUUAAGCAGGGGUUUCCAAACUUUUAAUUUCACAACAUAUUAAGCCCAGGAUACACAGCAGGAUUUUUUGCAAUCCAAUAGACCUUAUCACACUGUGUGACAAGAAUUGUUUAAACUUUAGCAGUAGACUGUCGAUGAAGACACCUAUUGCAUCUGAGGCUGCGACAUCCGUCAUCAGCAUGCGCUAGUGGUAAACAAAUACAGGUAUGCAGGUCGUAGAAGCAAACACGUUGUUGAUGUGCGUUGAUCAUGCUGAACUUCUUACACUGUCAUAAAACUAUCGUAGGUGUCUUUGGUCCCAGGACUGGGAAAAGAGGUCUUUAAACCUCUCACACUGUAUGAGAUAGGACCACCAAUUAAGAGCCACGAUCACAGAAAUCUCCACGAUUGUUUCACGAUUGGUAAUCUUUCAUCUGGGACAGCCAAAAAUCGUGCCGUGUAUUAUGGGCUUUAGACAUGUGUAAUCUUAUAGUAUAUCAAAACCAUUGCUAAUAAUUAAUUGGACAAACCAUCACUACAAUGCAACACUCGCUAUCUUACGGUGCGACCCACAAGUGGGUCUUCACCCACAGCUUAAAAACCCUGAGUAUGAGUAAGAGUAUGUUGUAUUGUAAUUAAAGUCACAUCUAAGUGUUAUGGAGCAGUUUGUCAUUAUAUUCACAGUAUUACAUGGUUCUUUCAGCAGUUUCUACGUUACAAUGCUCUUAAAGUGUCCUGAUCAGCUUUGGGUCUUGUGAAGUAAUGUAAUGAGAAUGUGAUCAAUAGCUUUGCAGUAUUUUUGGUUAAACAUUUUAUUCAAAUUUGGUAAACAAUCUAGUCAAUAUAAUUCAUGCUGUGAUGCUGGAUUAAACCUGGUCAAAUGAA